UACGAAGGGGGCUAGCGUUGUUCGGAAUUACUGGGCGUAAAGCGCACGUAGGCGGCCCUGUAAGUCCGCUGUGAAAGUCAAAGGCUCAACCUUUGAAAGCCGGUGGAUACUGCAGGGCUAGAGUCCGGAAGAGGCGAGUGGAAUUCCUGGUGUAGCGGUGGAAUGCGCAGAUAUCAGGAGGAACACCGGUGGCGAAGGCGGGUCUCUGGGCCGAUACUGACGCUGAGGAGCGAAAGCGUGGGGAGCGAACAGG
rnacentral:rRNA from 1 species